CAUCACAUCCACAUUAUGAUUUACAACUCACAACACCCGUUUUCUCUCAACUUUCAAAAAGAAUUUUGAAUCUUGUUUUGAGUUUUGCAAACAAAAUAUCUUCAUUUUCACCCUCUUACAUUAUCCAUUGUCAUUUAGAUUAAACUCUCAUCUUAGGGUGUGAGAUUUGUGAGGAGGAUCGUUAUUGUUAUUAAUAUUUUCUUUGAAGAUUUCUCGAGGAUUUCAGGGAUUUGCAUCUAUGUGCGUGGUUGUGGUUGAGAUCGAAAAAAUUCACCAAAAAGGAAUGAGGUUCUUCUCUCAAAGACUACUUUGGUAGAGUUGUAUGGAAGCCUGUAGUCAGAGUUAAAUUUUUUCUCAUUUUUAGACAGUACAAGGAUCGGAGGUUCUUCUCUCAAAUUCACCAAAAAGGAAUGGGGUUCUUCUCUCAACGAACAUUGCAAAAUAAAAGAUUAGAACAACAUUCUUGGAGCUGGAAGAUUUAAGUCAAAUUAGAGUAAAAAUUUCACAAGAGUUCAACUUCAGUUAUUGUGUAAAAGACAGAGAGGCUUGAUAGCGAGUUCGUUUGUAAGUUUAGGUUUUAUUAGAUUGAGACUUUAAAUCGUUCUUGUUGUUAUUACACCUCAAGGCUAUGAUAUUAGAUUUCUUAUUGCAUUGAAAAUAUUAAUUUUAUUCAACUCCUAAUUCAUUCAAUAAACAUAUUGAUUAUUUUA